GAUGAAGAACGCAGCGAAAUGCGAUAACUAAUGUGAAUUGCAGAAUUCAGUGAAUCAUCGAGUCUUUGAACGCACAUUGCGCCCCCUGGUAUUCCGGGGGGCAUGCCUGUCCGAGCGUCAUUGCUGCCCUCAAGCACGGCUUGUGUGUUGGGCCUCCGUCCUCCUCCCGGGGGACGGGCCCGAAAAGCAGCGGCGGCACCGCGUCCGGUCCUCGAGCGUAUGGGGCUUCGUCACCCGCUCUUGUAGGCCCGGCCGGCGCUUGCCGACACAUCAAUCUUUUUUCCAGGUUGACCUCGGAUCAGGUAGGGAUACCCGCUGAACUUAAGCAUAUCAAUAAGCGGAGGA
rnacentral:misc_RNA from 1 species